UUAUGGCUCAGGAUGAACGCUGGCGGCGUGCCUAACACAUGCAAGUCGAGCGAGAAGUGACUGAUUGAGAUUCGGCUGAUUGAAGUCAUGGAUAGCGGCGGACGGGUGAGUAACGCGUAGGUAAGCUGCCCCGCACACAGGAAUAGCCUAGGGAAACCUGGAUUAAUGCCUGAUGACGCGGCGGAGUCACAUGGCUCUGUCGCCAAAGAUUUAUCGGUGUGGGAUGCACCUGCGUCUGAUUAGCUUGUUGGUGAGGUAACGGCCCACCAAGGCGACGAUCAGUAGCCGACCUGAGAGGGUAAUCGGCCACAUUGGAACUGAGACACGGUCCAAACUCCUACGGGAGGCAGCAGUGAGGAAUAUUGCACAAUGGGGGAAACCCUGAUGCAGCAACGCCGCGUGAGCGAAGAAGGUCUUCGGAUCGUAAAGCUCUGUCCUAAGGGACGAAGAAGUGACGGUACCUUAGGAGGAAGCCCCGGCUAACUACGUGCCAGCAGCGGC
rnacentral:rRNA from 1 species